AUGCUUACCUGGUAAGGGAGAGACCAUGGUCAUGAAGGUAGUUUUCCCGGGGCAAAUCUUAUCCAUUGCACUCCUGAUGUACUGACUCCUGUAAUUUCCCCAAAUGUGGGAAACUCGACUGCAUGAUUUGUGGUAGUGGGGGACUGCAUUCACACUUUCCCCUG
ensembl:snRNA U1 U1 spliceosomal RNA